AUUUAACCAGCACUUCUUGAACCCCUACUGUGUACCAAACAAUGGAAAUACAACAUGAGGAACCUUCAGCUCCCAGUCUGAAGAAGGGGCAAGCAACCAGCCUCUGCCAUGCAAGAACAGAUAUGGUGCAGGAGAUCCAUUUCUACCCAAUGAGCUACAAUUUCUGCCACUGGAAAGUUUCCAGCCUGGGGGGGGUGGAUAAGGCAGCUACAAAGUCAAACCCUAUGUGCCAAAGAGACAAAAACAUAAAUGCUGUGGGACUUUAAGAGAGAGAGCAGGAAGAUGCUUUCCCAAAUGGAGAAUAUUGGCCUCCAAGAUGUUACAAAUCCAAGUGAGAAAUAACCCCUACUGUCUGGGUAGGAAAAAAGGAACAAAAUACUUUGGGCCUCUUUGUGAUAGAGGCUUCCAGCACCAAGACUUAACAUUUGGACAAUAUCAAGUAAGUAUUCCAUUUCUCUCUAAGUAUCUUGCACUUAUUAUGCUAAAGUUAACCCUACCUAAAAUAAAAUCCACAAGGAUGCUCA